GCCUCUGGGUGUAGAAAGCAGUUAAUGCGCUUGGCUGCUAACCAAAAGAGUGGUGAUUCGAGUCCAACCAGAAGCU
rnacentral:tRNA from 1 species